rnacentral:rRNA from 1 species
AAAUUGAAGAGUUUGAUCAUGGCUCAGAUUGAACGCUGGCGGCAGGCCUAACACAUGCAAGUCGAACGGUAACAGGAAGCAGCUUGCUGUUUCGCUGACGAGUGGCGGACGGGUGAGUAAUGUCUGGGAAACUGCCUGAUGGAGGGGGAUAACUACUGGAAACGGUAGCUAAUACCGCAUAAUGUCGCAAGACCAAAGAGGGGGACC